AUUAGAGACCUACGAAUGUCGC
rnacentral:siRNA from 1 species